AUAGUCCUGGAGGAGGCAACCCGGGGAACUGAAACAUCUAAGUACCCGGAGGAAGAGAAAUCAACCGAGAUCGCGCUAGUAGCGGCGAGCGAACGCGCGCGAUGCCCAAACCGCAGGCUCCGUCACAGGCUGGGGCCGCUGGACCUGCGGUGUUGCGGGGGGAGGCGUCCGGGGGCUCCCAGGCCCCGGGUGCGGUGACAAAUCUCGGCGGCAGCCGAACGGCCUGGGAAGGCCGGCGGCACAGGGUGAGAGCCCCGUAGGCGAAGCCGCCGCGACCGCACGCUCCUCCUUCCCGAGUAGGGCCGGCCACGAGGAAUCCGGCCCGAAGCCGGGGGGACCACCCUCCAAGGCUGAACACUCUCCUGCGACCGAUAGCGAACCAGUACCGUGAGGGAAAGGUGAAAAGCACCCCGAGAGGGGAGUGAAACAGCACCUGAAACCGCGCGCCCCCGAGCAGUCGGAGCGGCCAUCACGGCCGUGACGGCGUGCCUUUUGUAGAAUGAGCCAGCGAGUCGCGGUCGGCGGCGAGGCCAAGCCUCGAAGCGAGCCGGAGCGAAAGCGAGUCUGAACAGGGCGUUCAGUCGUCGGCCGCGGACGCGAAGCCGGGUGAGCUAUCCUUGGGCAGGCUGAAGCGGGGGUAAGACCCCGUGGAGGGCCGAACCCACCUGGGUUGAAAACCGGGGGGAUGACCCGAGGAUAGGGGUGAAAGGCCAAUCAAACCCGGAGAUAUCUCGUUCUCCCCGAAAUAGCUUUAGGGCUAGCCUCGUCCGACAGACCCCGGUGGUAGAGCACCGGAUCGCCUAGGGGGCCUCACCGCCUGCCGAAGCGAGCCGAACUCCGAAUGCCGGGGCCCCAGGGGACGGGAGCCAGAAGGCGUGGGCUAAGCUGCGCCUUCGAGAGGGAAACAGCCCAGACCGCCCGCCAAGGCCCCCAAGUCCGUGCCGAGUGGCAAAGGAUGUGCGCUCGCCCAGACAGCCAGGAUGUUGGCUUAGAAGCAGCCAUGCAUUCAAAGAGUGCGUAACAGCUCACUGGUCGAGUGGGAGCGCGCCGACAAUACACGGGGCUAAGCACGGCGCCGAAGCGGCGGGCCGGAGACGACCGUCUCCGGCGGUAGGGGAGCGUCGCCCGCGGGGCGAAGCCGGAGGGGGGACCCCCGGUGGACCGCGGGCGAGCGAGGAUGCUGGCAUGAGUAGCGAGAGCGGCGCGAGAAACGCCGCCGCCGCAAGCCCAAGGUUUCCUGGGCGAGGCUAAUCCCCCCAGGGUCAGUCGGGGGCUAAGGCGAGGCCGGAAGGCGUAGCCGAUGCGCAACGGGCGGACAUUCCCGUACCGCCCGCGCAGCGUUCGAGCCCGAGCGGUGACGGGGAAGGGCAGGCAUGCGGGGUUCUGGACGCCCCCGUGAAAGCGUGUAGGCCGUCCGGCAGUGAAGCACACCGGGCGCGUGGCCGAGACGCGAGACGAAGCGCGAAGCGCGAAGAUGCCGCACCCAUGCCCCCUAGAAAAACCGCGCGGGCGAUGCUCCGCGGGCGCCCGUACCAAAACCGACACAGGUGGGCGGGUAGAGCAUACCGAGGCGAUCGGGGGAACCGUGGUCAAGGAACUCGGCAUAAUGGCCCCGCAACUUCGGGAGAAGGGGUGCCGCUGGGGGUGGAGGGACUCGCUCCCCGAGCCCCCGGCGGCCGCAGCGAAUAGGCCCAAGCGACUGUUUACCAAAAACACAGGACUCUGCCAAGCCGCGAGGCGAAGUAUAGGGUCUGACGCCUGCCCGGUGCCGGAAGGUUACGCGGAAGCGUCAGGGGGCCCGCCCCCGAAGCGCCGAAGCCAAGCCCCGGUAAACGGCGGCCGUAACUAUAACGGUCCUAAGGUAGCGAAAUUCCUUGUCGGGUAAGUUCCGACCUGCACGAACGGCGUAACGACUUGGGCGCUGUCUCGACCGCGGUCCCGGUGAAAUUGCAU
rnacentral:rRNA from 1 species